UAUACAUACGAGCGCCCUUGCACACACAGCUGCAGUAGUACACACACGUGUACACACACAGUGUAAGUCUGAUGCAAUUUAUUUCUGCCCCAUACAUAUUUAUACUUUCUCCCAGGCAGUUCCUUGCUGCUGUGUUCAAUAAAGCCAUGCAGAGGCUGAUAAUAAAAGCAGCCAGAACAGCAGGGUCUCACGGAGCACGGAUGCGUCGACUUCCCUCUGACGUCAGAGUCUGGAAAUCCCAUUUUAAUCAGUGCUCCAAGAUGAGAAAACUGAAAUGCAACCUACAGAAGCUGCAAUGUAUUCUGGACAACGCAACUACCCUCUUGCAGACUCGUGGCAGGCUAUAAUGACUUACUGACAAUUGCUCCCAUAUCAUAAACAGCUUCAAAUGUGGAUAAAAAGACAGGGACAAGAACCUCUACAAACUCAGAUGCUAACUGGUUUUCUGUUUCAUUCUGAAGUGCAUUAUUUUGGUCUCACAAUAAAUGUUACCCACAACAUUGGGGCUACUCAUUUAUUUGGUCUGUGCAGGAAAUGGAUUCACAACAUUAAUCUCAGUGUUGAAUCAGGCUGUACCACUGAUCUUGCCAUGACAACGAUGUGCAUCUAUCUAUCGGAAGACCUAAUAUUAUGCUUUUGCAGAAGUAGACUGCAAUCCAUUAAAGUUCAUACAGAAAUAAAUCAAUAAUUCUUAAAGGUGAUACAAACUUUCUUUCCACCAUUUUUUCCUGC
rnacentral:lncRNA from 11 species